rnacentral:rRNA from 1 species
UNUGAGCUUGCUUUCGAUACGGGCUGACUUGAGGGAGGUAGGGGAGAAUGGAAUUCCUGGUGGAGCGGUGGAAUGCGCAGAUAUCAGGAGGAACACCGGUGGCGAAGGCGGUUCUCUGGACCUUUCCUGACGCUGAGAAGCGAAAGCGUGGGGAGCGAACAGGCUUAGAUACCCUGGUAGUCCACGCUGUAAACGGUGGGUACUAGGUGUGGGGGACAUUCCACGUUCUCCGUGCCGUAGCUAACGCAUUAAGUACCCCGCCUGGGGAGUACGGCCGCAAGGCUAAAACUCAAAGGAAUUGACGGGGCCCCGCACAAGCGGCGGAGCAUGCGGAUUAAUUCGAUGCAACGCGAAGAACCUUACCUGGGUUUGACAUAUGCCGGGAGCGUUCAGAGAUGGGCGUGCCUUUUUGGUCGGUUUACAGGUGGUGCAUGGCUGUCGUCAGCUCGUGUCGUGAGAUGUUGGGUUAAGUCCCGCAACGAGCGCAACCCUCGUCCAAUGUUGCCAGCGGGUUAUGCCGGGGACUCAUUGGAGACCGCCGGGGUCAACUCGGAGGAAGGUGGGGAUGACGUCAAGUCAUCAUGCCCCUUAUGUCCAGGGCUUCACGCAUGCUACAAUGGCCGGUACAGUGAGCUGCGAGCCUGUGAGGGUGAGCGAAUCUCUAAAAGCCAGUCUCAGUUCGGAUUGGGGUCUGCAACUCGAUCCCAUGAAGUCGGAGUCGCUAGUAAUCGCAGAUCAGCAACGCUG